GCUAGCUACCUGUUCCAUCGUCAAACUAAAAGAGCAGGAGUGGGGGGAUGGCCAAUGAAGAAGAGAUCAUGAUUGUGUGGCAAAGAAGAAGUUGUUUUUUGCAGUGGAGGUACAGGUGCAUGUGCCACUAAUAGUGACAGAGAUACUUUUAAAAAUCAUUGUUAAUUUUGAGAAUGACUGCAUGCCCCGGUAUGGUCUACAACACUAUCUGCUUCCCAAUUGUCAAUGCAUGUGGUAUGUUUAUGACAUUGCCAACAGAGCAUUUCAAAACAUACAAGGACUUUGAAGAAAAUCUCUCACAGGCAGUCUCUGAAGGGGUAUGAUUUCCGUAGACGCUAAUGCAGUGAUACCCAUGGGAACAAGUAACACUGGUAGUACCUGAGCGUCUUCUGGUGGUAUGCCACAGUCUUUUGCAACCCUAACGGGUAUAGAAACACGAUGUUCCUGUGUUGUUCAAAUUUAUAUGUUGUGAAGUGUUGUUAAAACAUAUUACAAUCAGUUUUGCGAUAUUUACAUAUUUUGUAUUGUAAUUUUAUAAAAAAGAAACAAAGCCUCCAUACUUCAUCCUUUAUUUUUUACUUACAGUGAAUGUGACAUGGUAGAAUUUGCAUAUUCUCUGACCAUCAGAUAAACCUCCUCGUGUCUGAAUGUCCUUCACUUUAAAUAAGAAGUCGUACUCUGGUGUGCUGCACUUCAUACAGGGGAUUGUCAAAUUCAGUUAAACCUUCGGCAUCAGAAAUGCCUUGGGCGGGGUACACUCCGCAUGUUUAAAUAUGAUUAUUUGGAUAUCUUGAAGUGCUGCAACUGCCAUCUCCAACUCCAGCAAUGCAGUUUUCCAUAUACCAUGCUGGAUAAAAAGGAAAAACCAUGAUGCUAUCAUAGGGAAAAACACCGGCCUACGUGUGAGGGUCCCCUCAAUUGUGCUGGACUGCUGUUCACUGCAAAGCCAUCAGAGUAAUCUGAUAUCAUACAAUGACACAUGCUGAACACGUCGAGCAUGCAUACCAGUGACAUGUGGUGAGGGGAGGCAGGUGAGGCAAAUGUAUUUUCUGUAUGAGUCCAGUAGUUUUUAACAUUUCCUUAAAUAAAAAUGACUGAUUUUGCACAUUUCCUGAUCAAAUACAAGGCAGGAAGCUGAGAUGAAGCUGCGGCAAAUCUCUCCUCUCACAUUAGUGCUCAGUCGAGCCUACCGUCUGAGUGCUCUUUACUGAGUGCGCUGGAUGGCGGCUGGUGCAGGCCCGUUUCCGUUUGUCAGCAUGUUGCCAAUAUGUUUAUACAUUCAUUACACACCAUGACUUUCUACAGCAUCAUUAUUUUUGCUAAUCGGACAAUAAAAUACAGAGAAAUGUCAUACAUACUCCACCUCACCGUGAAGGGGCGGGGGCGUGCUAGAGCUGGAAGUUGCUUGUCAUUGCCGUCCUUCCAUUGAGAGGAAAAGCCAGAGUUUUUUUGUUUUUUUUUACAGUACCAGCUAGAUUUAGCAACAAGUCAAAUGUAUGAAAGAUAUUUUUAUGCUAUGCUGUGUUAGGAAUGGAAUAUGUUUUGGAUAAGGAAUGCAAAUUGCUCAUAAGAGAGAUAAAAACAAAAGUUACCCUGUUUUAUUUAAUUAAACACACACACACAUUUUCAUUAUGAGUCACCUUUUCUGUCUCCCGGCUGAGUCACCCAGCCUGCUUGCUAUGGAUUGUUUGAAACCAGAUCAGAUCAAUACACCAACAGUUAAAGGAAGUUUUGUGAUCAUUGGGGCCACCUCCACUGGAGUAAGAGGAAUUCAGUUUAACUUUGGAAAUUGCUUGGCCCUCACUAGACCAUGGCUGGUGGACCUAGCAGUCUCUCCAGCGCCGGCUUUGCAAUUGCUUGUAACUACUCCUUUUUAAUAUUGAAUUGUAAACCUUACUUGAGACUCUUACCAUUAUUUCUCAGCUGGUAGAACAAAAGAAUCUGGGUGGACUUCGCCCUGCUAAAAAAACAGGUCAGAACGGCUGAGUGAAUGAAUGAACUUGACUGCCAAGAUGGAGGAUUAUAUAUCCAAGUUCAAAAGAAGGUGAUCAGACUUUUACAAAUAAGUAUCAGAGCUUUUCCUGGAGAAGGAUAGGGCGCAUGUACUUUAUAUGCUAAUAAAACGUAAGACCGCAAAUCAUAAAGCCAUUUGUGUAAUGUUCGGAGUGUCCCUGAAUGCAUCUCGCAUUCUUGUAAUGAAAAUGAGGAAGUGUCCUUCCCAGGUUGAAUGGACUGGAGACGUGUGUGAGUUGGAGAUGCAUACAGUAUAUGGUGUUGGAAUUGUACAGCUGUUGAUGUGUUCAGGUCAGAUCAUGAAGUUGUAAAGGAGCGUCAGACUGUGUGGGGACACUCUGUCUGCCGUCAUAACAGAGAGGCGUGCUUGCUCUGGUGCGCAUGCGUUAAUUACACAAAAAAAGUAAUAUAAUUCAUUAAAUACAUUACGCAUUAUUUUUGACAGCCAUAGUAUUAACAUAAAAAAUGAGUGAGUGAGUCAGUGCCUCACCAGCCAAGAACCUCACCGCACUUUACUGAUUCACACUCAUUUUUUCACACUUUAUUUUUUAUGUUUCCCUGCAAUUUCUUUCUGACAUGUGGUGAUUAUUUUCCCAAGAACAACACAUACAACUGGUAUGUGAAACCAGACCCACCUUCCUCCAGCGACAGUUUCUGACAUACCAGUCUCCUCAUGCAGAUCCCAUUCAUCCUCUCAGCAUCUCCCCAGGCUGCUGUGUGUGUGUGUGUAGGCAUUCAUGUAUGUGUAAGGCCCCUCACUCACAUAAACCUCGGGGCCUCGGUCCAGUUGCUCCUCAUGGAUGCUUCUCAUCUGCACGAAACUGACAGCGCAAAGGAAUGAAACGUGAGACAGGAGGAGGUGGAGUUUUUCUUUUUGUAAUGUUGUUGUUGUUGUGUGUGUUUUGGCAUGGCACUGUGAGCAUAUCCUUAUUUGUGUGUGUGUGUGUGUGUGUGUGUGUGUGUGUGUGUCUCAAUACAGCUGUGCAACCAGCCUCUGUGUUGACAGUGCCAGUCCAUACACAAACAUCAUUGCUUUUUAAUGAUGUGAUAAUCAGGCAACACACAAACACACACGCUGUUGUGAAUGUGGUUAAUUAAUACACACAUAUGCCCUGUGACUGUGUGUGCGCGCGUGUGUGUAGGUAAGGAUGAGCUUUGAACAGCAUGUGUCUCAGUAGCAGCUGUUUCGAGGCCAGGUGGUUGACCUACACACACACACACACACGCUCUCUCUCUCUUUCUGACCCCCACACCUUCAGCUUUAUUGGUGGCCAUAAAACAAAGACAACACAAACAGUUCCUAAAUCAACAGGCUUGAUUUGAGGAGCACCAACAUUGCAUUCAACACUCCCAACCUACCAAAUUCCACAUCGAGACACAUUUAAGACCCAAAAAUGCUGCUUGUGAAGUAAUAAUUACACGAAAAGGGGUUCUUAAAUCAAGUAAACACUCAGCGAAAAUUUUGUUUUUCCAUUUCCAUUCCUGUAUGUACUAUGACAAAAAGGCUCUGGGGGUACACAAAACAAAAAAGGAAACGCCACCGAUAUACAGUAUAUAUUACAUACAGUAUAUACUCUUGAUGCUGUGUGUCGCAGUGUUCUGCAAAGGCUUGAGCAGUGUUGGAAAGGAGGACAUUUUUAGCAUUUACUGGAUUAAAUUGUGUUGAAUAGAUGCAGUUGUAAUAAAUAACGUGCUUUGCAAUUGACCGACAACCAGUCCAGGAUGUACCCCCCGCCUCUCGCCCGGAGUCAGCUGGCAUAGGCUCCAGCUCACCCAUGACCCUGACGAGGACAAGCUGUAUAGAAAAUAAAUUAAUUAAUGAAAUAAUAGUAAUAAAUUAGUCUAAAUGUAAUCAAAUGAAAAAAAAUCC